rnacentral:rRNA from 1 species
UGGCGAACGGGUGAGUAACACGUGGGUGAUCUGCCCUGCACUUCGGGAUAAGCCUGGGAAACUGGGUCUAAUACCGGAUAGGACGAUGGUUUGGAUGCCAUUGUGGAAAGUUUUUCGGUGUGGGAUGAGCUCGCGGCCUAUCAGCUUGUUAGUGGGGUAAUGGCCUACCAAGGCGUCGACGGGUAGCCGGCCUGAGAGGGUGUACGGCCACAUUGGGACUGAGAUACGGCCCAG